GAUGAACGCUGGCGGCGUGCCUAAUACAUGCAAGUCGAGCGAACGGACGAGAAGCUUGCUUCUCUGAUGUUAGCGGCGGACGGGUGAGUAACACGUGGAUAACCUACCUAUAAGACUGGGAUAACUUCGGGAAACCGGAGCUAAUACCGGAUAAUAUUUUGAACCGCAUGGUUCAAAAGUGAAAGACGGUCUUGCUGUCACUUAUAGAUGGAUCCGCGCUGCAUUAGCUAGUUGGUAAGGUAACGGCUUACCAAGGCAACGAUGCAUAGCCGACCUGAGAGGGGGACCAGCAACACGGGACCUGAACCACGGCCCAGACUCCUACGGGAGGAAGCGGGAGGGAUUCUCCCGCAAGGGGCGAAAGCCUGACGGAGCAACGCCGCGGGAGUAAUGAGGGUCUUCGGAUCGUAAACCUUUUUUAUUAGGGAAAAACAUAUGUUUAAGUAACUGUGCACCUCUUGACGGUACCUAAUCAGAAAGCCACGGCUAACUACGGG
rnacentral:rRNA from 1 species